rnacentral:tRNA from 1 species
AGGAGAGGUGGCUGAGUGGUUGAAAGCGAUAGAUUGCUAAUCUGUUGUAUGUUAGAUUACAUACCGAGGGUUCGAAUCCCUUUCUCUCCUUC